UGAGGAAUAUUGGGCAAUGCCCGAAAGGGUGGCCCAGCAACGCCGCGUGGAGGAUGAAGGUCGUAAGAUUGUAAACUCCUGUUAGAGGGGAAGAAUAACUAAGUUUGGAGCUUAGUAUGACUGUACCCUCAGAGAAAGCCCCGGCUAACUACGUGCCAGCAGCCGCGGUAAUACGUAGGGGGCAAGCGUUGUCCGGAUUUACUGGGUGUAAAGGGCGCGCAGGCGGAAUGGAAAGUCAGUGGUGAAAUCCUACAGCUUAACUGUAGAACUGCCUUUGAUACUUUCAUUCUUGAGUUCGGGAGAGAGUGACGGAAUUCCGGGUGUAGUGGUGAAAUACGUAGAUAUCUGGAAGAACACCAGUUGCGAAGGCGGUCUCUUGGUCCGAUACUGACGCUGAGGCGCGAAAGCGUGGGGAGCAAACA
rnacentral:rRNA from 1 species